AUACGGAGGGUGCAAGCGUUGUUCGGAAUCACUGGGCGUAAAGGGCGCGCAGGCGGUUUGGUAAGUCAGAUGUGAAAGCCCACGGCUCGACCGUGGAAGUGCAUUUGAAACUGCCAGACUUGAGUACCAGAGGGGAAAGUGGAAUUCCCGGUGUAGAGGUGAAAUUCGUAGAUAUCGGGAGGAAUACCGGUGGCGAAGGCGACUUUCUGGCUGGAUACUGACGCUGAGGCGCGAAAGCGUGGGGAGCAAACAGGAUUAGAAACCCCAGUAGUCC
rnacentral:rRNA from 1 species